UCAAGGUGUCCAUCAAAAGCA
rnacentral:siRNA from 1 species